AUGAACGCUGGCGGCGUGCCUAAUACCUGCAAGUCGCGCGAACAGACGAGGAGCUUGCUCCUCUGACGUUAGCGGCGGACGGGUGAGUAACACGUGGAUAACCUACCUAUAAGACUGGGAUAACUUCAGGAAACCGGAGCUAAUACCGGAUAAUAUAUUGAACCGCAUGGUUCAAUAGUGAAAGACGGUUUUGCUGUCACUUAUAGAUGGAUCCGCGCCGCAUUAGCUAGUUGGUAAGGUAACGGCUUACCAAGGCAACGAUGCGUAGCCGACCUGAGAGGGUGAUCGGCCACACUGGAACUGAGACACGGUCCAGACUCCUACGGGAGGCAGCAGUAGGGAAUCUUCCGCAAUGGGCGAAAGCUUGACGGAGCAACGCCGCGUGAGUGAUGAAGGUCUUCGGAUCGUAAAACUCUGUUAUUAGGGAAGAACAAAUGUGUAAGUAACUAUGCACGUCUUGACGGUACCUAAUCAGAAAGCCACGGCUAACUACGUG
rnacentral:rRNA from 1 species